rnacentral:ncRNA from 1 species
CAUGGGUAUAGUUUAGGACCUGGAGAGUGACAUAGGCUACUUUUUAUAUUAAAUCAAAGAGUUCCCGAGGGAUUUUAAAAACUAAAUCCACGCGGACGAAGUCGCGAGCAUCAGCUAGUUUCUUAUAAAAACUAUAGUGUUAUUUGAACUUGUUAAUUAAUUGAACAGAUUGUUGAAGGAAAGAUUUUAUUCAGAACUGAAAACUAUUUUGUUCUUUAUCGAAGUUUUUUCUCUAGGUCUAGUUUAUGCUUCUCGUUUUUAUUUACAGUCUGUAAAUUUAUGAGUAGCUUAUUAACUUUUUAAAAUAAAAUUAAAAUAAAUAUUAAAUUAUUAGGUGAAAUUUUAAUUUAAUUUAAUUUUAAAUUAAUUUUAUGAUUUAAUAAAUUUAAUAAUAAACUAGGAUUAGAUACCCUAUUAUUUAAAAUUUAAUUUUUAAUGCUAAAAUAGUAAAUAGAAAAUAUUGAAACUUAAAUAAUAUGGCGGUAUUUUAGUUCAUUUAGAGGAAUCUGUCUAAUAAUUGAUAAUCCACGAAUAAAUUUACUUAAUUUAUAAUUUUAUAUAUCGUUGUUAAAAAAAUAUUUUACAAUAAAAAUAAUAUUUAAAAAUUUAAAUAAAAAAUUAAUUCAGAUCAAGAUAUAGAAUAUAAUUAAGAAUAUGAUGGAUUACAAUAAAAUAAUUUAAUAUGGAUAAUUUGAUUUUAAAAUUAAUUUGAAGGUGGAUUUAAAUGUAAUUUUAAUUAAUUUAUUAAAAUGAUUAAAAAUUGAAAUAUGUACAUAUUGCCCGUCACUUUCAUUUAAAAAUUGAAAUAAGUCGUAACAAAGUAGAGGUACUGGAAAGUGUUUCUAGAAUGAA